AGUGAACGCUGGCGGUAGGCCUAACACAUGCAAGUCGAACGGCAGCACAGUAAGAGCUUGCUCUUACGGGUGGCGAGUGGCGGACGGGUGAGGAAUACAUCGGAAUCUACUUUUUCGUGGGGGAUAACGUAGGGAAACUUACGCUAAUACCUCAUACGACCUACGGGUGAAAGCAGGGGAUCUUCGGACCUUGCGCGAUUGAAUGAGCCGAUGUCGGCUUAGCUAGUUGGCGGGGUAAAGGCCCACCAAGGCGACGAUCCGUAGCUGGUCUGAGAGGAUGAUCAGCCAAACUGGAACUGAGACACGGUCCAGACGACUAAGGAAGGCAGCAGUGGGGAAUAUUGGACAAUGGGGGGAAGCCUGAUCCAGCCAUACCGCGUGGGUGAAGAAGGCGUUCGGGUUGUAAAGACCUUUUGUUGGGAAAGAAAAGCAGCAGGUUAAUACCACGCUGUUCUGACGGUACCAAAAGAAUAAGCACCGGCUAACUUCGUG
rnacentral:rRNA from 1 species